rnacentral:rRNA from 1 species
AUUGAACGCUGGCGGCAUGCUUUACACAUGCAAGUCGAACGGUAACAGGCCUUCGGGCGCUGACGAGUGGCGAACGGGUGAGUAACGCAUCGGAACGUGCCCAGUCGUGGGGGAUAACUGCUCGAAAGAGCAGCUAAUACCGCAUACGAUCUGCGGAUGAAAGCGGGGGACCUUCGGGCCUCGCGCGAUUGGAGCGGCCGAUGUCAGAUUAGGUAGUUGGUGGGGUAAAGGCUCACCAAGCCAACGAUCUGUAGCUGGUCUGAGAGGACGACCAGCCACACUGGGACUGAGACACGGGCCCAGACUCCUACGGGGAGGCAGCAGUGGGGAAUUUUGGACAAUGGGCGCAAGCCUGAUCCAGCAAUGCCGCGUGCAGGAGAAGGCCUUCGGGUUGUAAAACUCUUUUAGCAGGGAAAAAAUGAUGGUACCUGCAGAAAAAGUCU